GAAGGAGGAAGGACUCUCUCCCGGGCAAGAUAACGACAGCUACAAGGGAGGGGGGGGGAGGAGUUGGCAAAAGAAACAACAUAAAGGGUGGUGAGUGAAAAUACUGAUGU
rnacentral:ribozyme from 12 species